rnacentral:rRNA from 1 species
CUUGUAGGCGGUCUGUCGCGUCUGCUGUGAAAAUCCGGGGCUCAACCCCGGACUUGCAGUGGGUACGGGCAGACUAGAGUAUGGUAGGGGAGACUGGAAUUCCUGGUGUAGCGGUGAAAUGCGCAGAUAUCAGGAGGAACACCGAUGGCGAAGGCAGGUCUCUGGGCCAUUACUGACGCUGAGAAGCGAAAGCGUGGGGAGCGAACA